UUUAUUAUCUAAUUAAAACUUGCUAGAUCUGAGAAACUAAACAGAAAUUCUGGAUAUUUCUUUCUAUCGAAUUGGUAGUACAACAGCAUCAUAACUUUUGUUGUUGUAGUCCUUUGACAUCCUGUUACCAUGUAGAAUCUUUGUAACCUUGGAAGCUGCUUACAGAGAUUAACGGUGCAGGACGUUAAUUCGAUGUUCAGAUGGCUCUUCUGGUCUUCCGGGAAGGAAAGGUGGCCCACUUUGGAUCGUAACUUGGACAAACAUUGAAAGGAUAAGUAAAAGGAGAAAAGCUAGCUUCGUUAUGUAUGAUAUCUUCAUAUCCCUACCCACCACUUCCAGCUAAC
rnacentral:lncRNA from 1 species